rnacentral:lncRNA from 1 species
GGACGUCUAUCAAAUAGUUAAGCUCAAAACAAACUCCUUUUUUUUUUUCUACAAUCAUUUCCUCCAGGUCAGUUAGACUCAUCAUACUAAAAAUGGCUUUUACAAAUGACUAUUUACAAAUUUCUAAUAGAAAAAAAUUUUGCACACAAAUCGUACUUUGCUUAAUUUCAGCUCAUUUGGUAACAGGAAUACGUCACCUCAUUAUGACCGUAUGACCCCUCCCGCCCCCUAGGCCCUGAAGCGCUCGCUGUUUUCAAGCCCGUCAUUUUGUAUUUCGCGCGUGAUUUCUCAUUUUGGCGCGUGACAUGCGCAGAGCGCAGAUUCGUCCGUAAGAAAAACGUGUUGUGUGCGAGUGUGCGUGCGUCGGUGAAUCGAGUCGUCUUUUUUUAUGCCAUCGGUCGCCAUCAGUCGCCGUCACUGCGCAAUCAUUCGUGUUUUGUUUCGUUGAUGCCAUCAGAAAUGGAGCACCAUCAGUGAAACCUAACCUCUAACAAUUUUUUAGUAGCGUAAUCCCGUGAUCGUGACGGACUCGUGAGUUGAAGCUGUGAAUUGGUGAGUUAUAAACUUUUAUUAAAUAUUUUUGAUAUAUUGAUAUUUAUUUUAUUGAAUUUAUUUUAUUUUUUUAUUGAAUUUUUUUUUUUUUUUUUUUUUUUUUAUUUUUUUUUUUAUUUAUUUUGAUAUUUUUGAUAUAUAUUUUGGUUAUUUACAUUUGGCGGGCUUUCUGCUGUUUACAACCAGUCGCGCUCCUCGUGAUCAUCAUUUGAACUGCAUUAAUAAAAAAAGACGAGCGAUUGCAAGCGAUUGUCCUCUGUCGUCAUAACAAAGUCAAGUUGUCUGUGAUUGGAUAGAGAAAAAUGGGCGUAACCAUCAGUCGCAAUCACAGCGAUGCCAUCGGUAAGCGACCCACGACAUAAAAAAGACGACUAUUGUCAUUCUCCCUCUUUUCUCUGAAACCCGGUGUCUGAAAGUCUGAACUUUGAGUCGAGAAAUUUACUAAAAGACAUAACAUCGUUUGAAAGUUACUCAGUGACCUCCUCCGACUUUUAGCAGCCGGUUGAUUCCUAAAACUUGAAGGAUCUUCUGUUCCACCCGGUAAGAUUUUCUUCCUUUGUUUGGUGUGGGUACACAUCUGUCUAACCUCAAUUUGCAUUGUUCGUCUGAAAUCGCUACAUUAUCACUUUUUUGUCACUUCAU